rnacentral:rRNA from 1 species
GACGAACGCUGGCGGCGUGCUUAACACAUGCAAGUCGAACGCUGAAGCUCAGCUUUUGUUGGGUGGAUGAGUGGCGAACGGGUGAGUAACACGUGAGUAACCUGCCUCCUUCUUUGGGAUAACGCCCGGAAACGGGUGCUAAUACUGGAUAUUCACUGGUCUUCGCAUGGGGGUUGGUGGAAAGGGUUUUUCUGGUGGGGGAUGGGCUCGCGGCCUAUCAGCUUGUUGGUGGGGUGAUGGCCUACCAAGGCUUUGACGGGUAGCCGGCCUGAGAGGGUGACCGGUCACAUUGGGACUGAGAUACGGCCCAGACUCAUACGGGAGGCAGCAGUGGGGAAUAUUGCACAAUGGGCGCAAGCCUGAUGCAGCGACGCCGCGUGAGGGAUGGAGGCCUUCGGGUUGUGAACCUCUUUCGCUCAUGGUCAAGCCGCAACAAUGGUUGUGGUGAGGGUAGUGGGUAAAGAAGCGCCGGCUAACUACGUG